rnacentral:misc_RNA from 1 species
UUGACAUGUAAUCAAUUUCUGCUUAACAUAACCAUACUUUUUCUCUCCGGUAUUAAAUAAGUUUUCUUAAAUGUCUUUAAUUAAAAAGCCUUUAACAUUUGAUGUUAUAUCAUCUUGUAAAACAAGCAAAGCUCGCGUGGGCAAAAUGAUUUUACCUCAUGGUCCAGUAGAUACUCCUGUUUUUAUGCCAGUUGGAACUCAAGGAACUUUGAAAGGCAUGCUUCCAGAACAACUCGAAAAGAUGGGGUUACAAAUAAUGUUGGCUAAUACAUAUCAUUUAGGAACGAAACCAGGUCCUGAGAUUUUAAGAAAAGCUGGCGGGCUUCACAAAUUCAUGAAUUGGAAUAGACCUCUACUGACUGACUCUGGCGGGUUUCAAAUGGUAUCUUUACUAAAAUUAGCAGAAAUUACUGAAGAUGGUGUGAAAUUUCAAUCACUAAAUAAAGAGAAAGGAGAAGUUAUGUUAACUCCAGAACAUUCCAUAGAGAUUCAAAAUGCUAUUGGGGCCGAUAUUAUAAUGCAGCUAGACGAUGUUAUUAAAACUACAUCACCUGACAAAAGUAGAAUAGAGGAAUCAGUAUAUAGAACAACCAGGUGGCUAGAUAGGUGCUUAAAUGCUCACCAAAAUCCAGAAAUUCAGAAUAUUUUUCCAAUUGUGCAGGGAACGUUAUAUGAAGAUUUGAGAGUUAUUAGUGCCCAGGAUCUCAUUAAAAGGGAUACGAAUGGAUUUGCCAUUGGCGGUUUAAGCGGCGGUGAAAGCAAAGAUGAUUUUUGGAAAAUUGUACAUUUGUGUACAGAUCUCUUGCCAAAAAAUAAACCAAGGUACCUCAUGGGUGUUGGUUUUGCUGUUGACUUAGUUGUUUGUUCUGCGUUAGGAGUGGAUAUGUUCGAUUGUGUUUUCCCUACCAGAACAGCGAGAUUUGGUUGUGCCCUUAUAAUGACCGGACAGCUAAAUCUAAGGAAGCAACAAUACGUCAAAGACUUCAGCCCAAUCGACAAGGAGUGCUGGUGCAGUACCUGCAAGAAUUAUACAAGAGCUUACCUUCAUAAGGUCGUUACCGAUCUACCAGUGGCAUGUACGCUCCUCACUGAACACAACGUUGCCUUCCAGAUGAGAUUAAUGGAGAAGAUACGAAGCAGCGUUUCCGAGAACCGAUUUCCGGAAUUCGUACAGAAAUUUAUUCUGGAUAUAUAUCCCAAUAAAGAUUAUCCCAGUUGGGUUAAGGAUUCCCUUAAGGCUGUGAAUAUUGAAUUAUUGUGAUAUUUGCUCGUACUAAUUUUUAGUUUGCAUUUAGUAAAAUUAGUCUCUUUUUAAAAGAACCAAUAACCAGUUAAUAUUGUGAUUUUUUAAGGUUAUCUUUUAAUUUAUUUGUUUAUUUUUCCUUUUUUUUAUUGUUAUUAUACCUAGUAUGAUGAGUUAAUUCUUUUCGUAUCAAGAUACAUUGCGCCCAUCAGAAUCAAAACCUGCUAAAUCCUAAAUUUUUCGUUUUCCCUUUUUUACACAUUUUCAAAGUUCAAGUAUACAGUGAUGAGGGCGCUAAUAACCGCCAAAAUAACGCAAAAGAUGGAAAACAUAUUAAGUUGUGAGAUAAAAAGAAAUGAAACUAGUGGAGGUGGGAGAUUUAGCGAUAAAAACCUAUAAACUUACAUUCUAUUUGUUUCACAUCUUUAGACGUAUCAGAGGAGUAUGCCAAAUAAAACUAUCACUGUCACAGUUGCCAAAUUCGUCUGAUACGUCUAAAGGUUUUUAUCGCUAAAUCUCCCACCUCCACUAGUUUCAUUUCUUUUUAUCUCACAUCUUAAUGUGUUUUCCAUCUUUUGCGCUACUUUACCGCUAUUAAACCUUCUAAAUCCGAUUUAAAAUACCAGUGGAAUGUUGACGUGCUGUGUCCAUUUCUUUUAUGAACAAUAAAAUACUUCUUUUUCUUGUAUAUUUUGUGUUUUCCUAUCAAAAUGGUUCAAGACCCACUUGUAGUGCAUUAAUUUUAUUGUUCCUAAAAGCAGUUGAAUAUGCGGAAUUUGCACAAUAUUUGGGCUUAGAAUCAAAAUCUGCUAAGUCCAAACUAGAAGCGCAAAUUUCUAAAGAUGUAAGGGGCAUGCAGAAAAAUGACUCUACCAAAUUAGUGAACCAUUUUAUGACAUUUAUUGAUACCCCUAUGAUUGAGAAAUGCCGGAUACUUUUUGGAAAAUUUACAUUUUUAAUGUUUUUUUAGUCUCCUGAAAAAUUGCAAAACAUGUAUCUAGCAGGUUUUGAUUUUAUAGGCCUCAUGUUAAUAGAUUCAUUUGAUGGUUUAUGACUGAGACUAACGUUUCACUUUUUCGAUAAGUAUAGAAUGUUUUAUUAUUAUAAUUUUAUUAAAUGACAACUACUUAAAAAACCGGAGCUAUUGAACGCGAAAACCAAGAUAAUCUUGCAGGAAUUUUUUGUCCCCUUUGUGUAUCAUAUAAAUUGCACAAGGUUUUCAUUUACCACUUUGAGAAUUCCAUCUUAAAAUCUGCGAAGAGAAUGAGCAAAAUCUUAAUGUUAAUUUGUACUGCCAGAUUCCUCUAACGAGAUAGUUACUGUCAUUUCGCUUUUUUUGUUACUUUAUGUUGCUUUACUCUCAUGAAUAUCUGAAUUUUUAAUCAAUAUAGGCGUGAGAGUCGAAAUAUAUUGCUCGUCGAUGCCGUUUAUUUCCAAAGUUAGUAGAAUGAGUUAGAGGCAUUUAGCACAGGGUUAGAGGUCAAGUACCGAGAUGAUCUCAAUGCGAGUGACGCUUCACUUUUUUUGCUUUGUUUCCAUUUUUUUUAAUAUAUUUCUCUUUCAGUUAGUAUGA